GACAUCAGGAGGUUAGUGCAAUGGCAUAAGCCAGCUUGACUGCGAGCGUGACGGCGCGAGCAGGUGCGAAAGCAGGUCAUAGUGAUCCGGUGGUUCUGAAUGGAAGGGCCAUCGCUCAACGGAUAAAAGGUACUCCGGGGAUAACAGGCUGAUACCGCCCAAGAGUUCAUAUCGACGGCGGUGUUUGGCACCUCGAUGUCGGCUCAUCACAUCCUGGGGCUGAAGUAGGUCCCAAGGGUAUGGCUGUUCGCCAUUUAAAGUGGUACGCGAGCUGGGUUUAGAACGUCGUGAGACAGUUCGGUCCCUAUCUGCCGUGGGCGCUGGAGAACUGAGGGGGGCUGCUCCUAGUACGAGAGGACCGGAGUGGACGCAUCACUGGUGUUCGGGUUGUCAUGCCAAUGGCACUGCCCGGUAGCUAAAUGCGGAAGAGAUAAGUGCUGAAAGCAUCUAAGCACGAAACUUGCCCCGAGAUGAGUUCUCCCUGAGACUUAGAGUCUCCUGAAGGAACGUUGAAGACGACGACGUUGAUAGGCCGGGUGUGUAAGCGCAGCGAUGCGUUGAGCUAACCGGUACUAAUGAACCGU
rnacentral:rRNA from 1 species